rnacentral:rRNA from 1 species
AGUAACGGCGAGUGAAGCGGGAUGAGCUCAAAUUUAAAAUCUGGCUGGUUUACUAGUCCGAAUUGUAGUUUAUAGAAGCGUUUUCGGUGGCAGCCUGGGUAUAAAUCCUUUGGAAUAGGGUAUCAUAGAGGGUGAGAAUCCCGUCUUUGACUCAGUGCAUGCUACUAUGUGAUACGUUUUCUAAGAGUCGAGUUGUUUGGGAAUGCAGCCCAAAAUGGGUGGUAAAUUUCAUCUAAAGCUAAAUAUUGGCCAGAGACCGAUAGCGCACAAGUAGAGUGAUCGAAAGAUGAAAAGCACUUUGGAAAGAGAGUUAAACAGUACGUGAAAUUGUUGAAAGGGAAGCGCUUGCAACCAGACUUGCGCGCGGCCGAUCAUCCGGUGUUCUCACCGGUGCACUCGGCCGUGCUCAGGCCAGCAUCGGUUUUGGCGGCUGGAUAAAGGCCCUAGGAAUGUAGCUCCUCUCGGGGAGUGUUAUAGCCUAGGGUGCAAUGCAGCCUGCUGGGACCGAGGACCGCGCUUCGGCUA